UACGUAGGAUCCAAGCGUUGUCCGGAAUCACUGGGUGUAAAGGGUGCGUAGGCGGGCUUGUGCGUCAGAGGUUAAAUCCCACAGCUUAACUGUGGAACUGCCUUUGAUACGGCAAGUCUUGAGUGUGAGAGAGGAUGGUAGAAUUCUUGGUGUAGCGGUGAAAUGCGUAGAUAUCAAGAGGAAUACCGGUGGCGAAGGCGGCCAUCUGGCUCACUACUGACGCUGAGGCACGAAAGCGUGGGGAGCAAACAGG
rnacentral:rRNA from 1 species